rnacentral:sRNA from 1 species
AAGUUUGAAUAUGAAUUAAUCCUAUAAUUUAUUCGCGUAUGAAAAUAUACUUAACAGAUUUUAAGGAUAUGAAAAUACUUUUUACUUCAUAUGCAUAUGUAUAUACUUGUUUGAACUUUAAAGUCAAUGGAGAAAAUACACUAGAGGUUACAGGUGCUGCCGCUGCAAUGCAACAUGUCGUUUAUAUAGUAACUGAUAGAAACUAUCAACUAAAGUCUCAUCACUAAAUUUUCCUUAAAACUUAUUACAUUACUCACUACUACACAAUGCAUUAAAAAUAACAUAUUUGAAAGUAUAUUGUGUAUGCUAAUUUUUGAUGUGUACUUAAAUCUCAUUAUUGGUAUAUAAGUAAAGAACUUUAAAAACUAAAGAUAGGCAGUAAAACAAAUCAUACAUAAAAUUUACGUUGAAAUUAGUUUGAAUCAAAUUUGCGAUCUACAGUUUUCGUGUAAAACUAAUCAAAGAAAAACGAUUCAAAAUAACCAAUAUAUUUUGAAAUGAUGAUUAAAACUUGGCGACAAAUGAAAUAAAAAUAAACAAUGGGAAAAAGUUUUGUGUUGUUGACCAAUUAGAGACCAAAAGACUGGUUUUUGUAGUAAAAAGCAGAUUACGUACAAAACAAUUUAGCGGGUGGGUAUAUGGAAUUUAGGUUCAGAAUAUUUUCUUCCUUUUAGGAUUAGGGUUUGUCUUGCAAUUUAGGAUGUUAUUGGACAUCUGUUCAAUUAUGGAUAGGUGGGAAUAGGGUUUGAGUCUCACAUAUAAAUCCUUGAAUUUUCCACUACCAUGUACAUCUAUAUAUGAAACUUCAUAAAGUCCGAUUUAACAAGUUUGCAGUAUGGCGAGAUCUGUUUUGGCAUCUUAGAAACAAAGCUUAACACUAAUACAAAAAUAAAUAUUCGUCAAGAACAAGAGUAGAUGACAAACAAGCUAAAGGAGGAGGAAAACAACUAAGAUAACUAGCAAAAGAUAGCAUUUCAUACUACAAGUAUAAGGUAAAAAUAAUAAAGGCACAAAAAUACCCGGAGAAGGCAUUUCUUUUGGGUCUCUUCAGGUGUCUCACUCUUAAACUUCUUGAUCAUCUUCUCAUUCUCAAAGGAGGUGUCGCUCUAGUCUUUACCUCAUACAUUCUUUUGUUCAUUUUCUCUUUCUUAUUUUUUU